ensembl:lncRNA
AUCAGGAUCAUCAGUCAGCCUGGUUCACGUACAGUAUGAAAUAUCUGCUUGACUCUUUAUUCAUCUCCAUCAGUCAGUAUCUGCAUCUGAUAGACAGGCUGCUCUUUCUAUCCCAUCAUUCACUUGAUCACAUUGCUCUGAAUGACAUGGAGGACCUCGUGCAGAUUUUGCUGAUGUUUGUUGAGGAUGAGGAUCACACACUGUGUCUGUGGCGGAGCAGUCCCGCGAGGGCAAAGAGAGCAGAGCUGGAGCUCAGAGACGCCUGACUUCUGCCUGCCCUUCAGACAGCAACUCCUCCACAAGGUUUUGUGUGAUCACCGGCCUGACAUUAAAGAGAUGCUGCAAGAAAAGAAAUGGGCUUAUCUGAAUGCGGC